rnacentral:rRNA from 1 species
UGGUUUCGUAGGUGACCUGCGGAGGAUCAUUA